rnacentral:rRNA from 1 species
GACGAACGCUGGCGGCGUGCCUAACACAUGCAAGUCAACUUGACUGAAGGAGCAAUCUGACAGUAGAGUGGCGCAAGGGUGCGUAACGCGUAAGUAACUUGCCCCAAGGUAAGGAAUAAACGUCGAGAAAUCGGCGCUAAUACCUCAUAAUGCAGCGGAUCCGCAUGGAUAUGUUGUUAAAGGUUUACCGCCUUGGGAUAGGCUUGCGUCUGAUUAGCUAGUUGGUGUGGUAACGGCACACCAAGGCUACGAUCAGUAACUGGUCUGAGAGGAUGAUCAGUCACACUGGAACUGAGACACGGUCCAGACUCCUACGGGAGGCAGCAGUGAGGAAUAUUGGGCAAUGCUCGAAGAGUGACCCAGCAACGCCGCGUGGAGGAUGAAGGUAUU